AUGGUCCGAAGAGCUUGCAGUCAGAUACAUCAACCCGCUGAUCCGCUCCCGUCGCCUACAGGUAGGACCCACGAGAGCUCUCUUCUUCCUCCCAACCCCGCCUUCCUCUGUUCCAAUGGCGCAGGGAGCGGCGGCACCGGCGGCGGCCACGUUAGUUUGAUACGUCGCGGCACCAAACGGCGCAAUCCAUGGCGUUGUAAGAUAACGCGGCGUCGGCUCACGUUGGCGCGGGCAAAGAGCUGCACCGUGUCCCAAGCAGCGGGUACCUGGGAGGAAGCCGUGUGAGAGCUAGGGUUCUGCGACUCCAAGGGAUCAGAUGUCAAACCGAGACUGAGAUAGUGUGAUGCCACCAACCUCUGCAUGCUAUGCGCCUUGACCCGUCCGGCAGCAACACUUGACUGAUUCGUACGGUACGAACGCACGUGGUUCUUCUAUUCGCCGGGGCUAAUGUCACUUGCUAACAGCUCCACCACCGUCCCGCCGGCGGGUUCGGUCAGCGAUCCUCCGGCUACGCCGUCCGUUAAACCUCCACCAGCAGCUCCAGGCAACGUUCCCGCGGCUCCUCCAGCUUUUCCAGGAUGUGAUCCUCCGGCAGCUCCACCAGUUGAAGGCUAGAAUUUCUGAGCUUUCUUUGCCUUCCGGCUGCAAUAUUACAAUAUUAUUGUGCUAUGGUAUGUGAAUGAUUAGCAACUACGUUGACAAAUGGGAUCUAUUUAUUUAGAAAAAUCUUCACAGAUGCUACAAAUUGGUAUAUCGAAAAUAUAAUGGAAUAUAAGUGCUUAUGGAAGCUAGCCAUAGUACUGAACGGUGUUUGAUCA